GAUGAACGCUGGCGGCGUGCCUAAUACAUGCAAGUCGAGCGAACGGACGAGAAGCUUGCUUCUCUGAUGUUAGCGGCGGACGGGUGAGUAACACGUGGAUAACCUACCUAUAAGACUGGGAUAACUUCGGGAAACCGGCGCUAAUACCGGAUAAUAUUUUGAACCGCAUGGUUCAAAAGUGAAAGACGGUCUUGCUGUCACUUAUAGAUGGAUCCGCGCUGCAUUAGCUAGUUGGUAAGGUAACGGCUUACCAAGGCAACGAUGCAUAGCCGACCUGAGAGGGUGAUCGGCCACACUGGAACUGAGACACGGUCCAGACUCCUACGGGAGGCAGCAGUAGGGAAUCUUCCGCAAUGGGCGAAAGCCUGACGGAGCAACGCCGCGUGAGUGAUGAAGGUCUUCGGAUCGUAAAACUCUGUUAUUAGGGAAGAACAUAUGUGUAAGUAACUGUGCACAUCUUGACGGUACCUAAUCAGAAAGCCCCGGCUAACUACGUG
rnacentral:rRNA from 1 species